CCUACGGGAGGCAGCAGUGGGGAAUAUUGGGCAAUGGAGGAAACUCUGACCCAGCAACGCCGCGUGAAGGAUGACGGUUUUCGGAUUGUAAACUUCUGUCGCGAGGGAUGAAGAAUGACGGUACCUCGUAAGAAAGCCCCGGCAAACUACGUGCCAGCAGACGCGGGAAUACGUAGGGGGCGGGCGUUGUCCGGAAUGACUGGGCGUAAAGGGAGUGUAAGGGGGAUAUUAAGUUAUGUGUGAAAGCCCGGGGUUCAACCGCCGAAUUGCACAUGAAACUGGUAUGCUGGAGUGCAGGAGAGGUAAGAGGAAUUCGCGGUGUAGCGGUGGAAUGCGUAGAGAUCGGGAAGAACACCGGAGGCGAAGGCGACAUACUGGACUGUAACUGACGCUGAGGCUCGAAAGCGUGGGGAGCAAACAGGAUUAGAUACCCGAGUAGUC
rnacentral:rRNA from 1 species